CCUAAACUUAAUUAAAACAAUUUUUUAUCAUAUAAAAAAGGAAUUGAAGGAGGAAGAGCUGAUACCUGCAUAUACAGCUUACGCUAAAUCCCUAACAUCCCACAGUGUUCACGAAGACGAUUUUUACCUUUUGGACCAUUUAGAUUCCUUGAACGAACGGCUAACAAACAACCACCCUCGAUUAUUUCCGUGGGUCGUCGUUUUCCACGUGCUUGAUGCUGAAAAAAAGGCGGGCAACUGGCGGAGAGUCCUCGAAGUUUAUGAACACGCACAGAAAAAUUAUAAAUUUUCGCCACACCCCAGC